CCCAACUGUGUUGUUCUCCUGCCCAUCCCUGACUCACUGCCCAUUUCACCAGACGACGGGCAGCACGCUGACAUGAGCUUACCCCAACUGUGCUUUUCUCCUGCAGCUCCUGCCCAUCCCUGACUCACUGCCCAUCUCACCAGAUGACGGGCAGCACGCUGACAUCUACAAGCUGCGGAUUCGUGUUCGUGGCAACUUGGAGUGGGCCCCCCCCCGGCCUCAGAUAAUUUUUAAUGUUCAUCCAGCCCCAACGAGGAAAAUUGCCGUGGCCAAGCAGAAUUACCGCUGUGCAGGAUGUGGCAUCCGGACUGAUCCUGAUUAUAUCAAGCGACUGCGGUACUGUGAGUACCUGGGCAAGUACUUCUGCCAGUGCUGCCACGAGAAUGCCCAGAUGGCCAUCC
rnacentral:lncRNA from 1 species